ACCCAUGAAACAAAACUGAUGAACUCUAUCCUCACAUCAGAAAAGUGAGAUCUUUAGUCGUUGCCUCGAGCUAGUAGAGAUCGUGUUGGAGAUGGAAGCCAACUCUGACAGUUCGUACUGGAGAGGGAAACAUGAAGACCGGUUCUGCAUAAAUAGCGGAUUGCAUGCCCGUGAUGCCGUAUUUACGAACUGGGUUCAAUUUUCCAUUACAGCACUUGAUCGAGUAGUCGGUGAGCAAGAACGAAAAGCUGUUGCAACUUUUCUACUGGUUUUGGACACUCCUCCAUAAUUAAAGUUCCAGAAAGGUGAGGCUGCUUUAAUUGCCACCAUUCACCACCGUUUGCAAUAUAUAUGUAACUAUGCAAUAUAUAUUUGAAAACUCCUGCCAUGCCUUUCAUUCUUUUCAUAUAUGCCACAAAUAUUCUGGUCUUUGUCCUUUGUAUAUGAAAGAAACCUACAGCACACCAUAUAUUCAAUUAUGUAUUUUGAUGGGCCAUGACUUGCAGCACACAUGAUUAAAGAUUAAAGCUAUUUAUUCUUUGGCAAAGCAAUUGUCAAUUGAACCAUGUUGCUGCACUUGUUGUCGUCAGUCCCUCAAAAGAAACAAUUAAUUAAACAUGCCAUUGUUUGACUUCAUAGUUUGCAACAAACAGCAAGCUUAAGUCUUUGACUGAGCUUUGACCCCAUGUUUCUGACCAUGUAGAAGCUGAUUAAUAAUUAAAGUUGCCACCAUGCCCUGCUUUGAUUAUCACCACCGUUCACCACCGCUUCAAACACAGAAAGCACUCGCAAGUUUUAGCUUGCCUUUUUGUUAAUUAAAUCACCAGUUCUGAGAACAAAAAAGAUGAAUUUAAUUAUCCUUGUCUUGGUUCCAGAACGUAAUUUUGCCUUUCAACUAACAAUUGACAUGAAAGCUUCUGGAUAUGUAGGCUUAAUUAAGCCACCGCCGCCAAGCCCUGCUGUCGGCUUUCCGGGUUACAGAGAAGGAUUACAAGAGCAACUUUUAAAGGGUUUUUAGCAUUGGGACUCGGCCGUUCAUGAACGACCCUAUGUUCCAACGCUGGAAAUUGCAGCAGCCAAGUGCUCUAAGACUCCGGCCGUUCAUGAACGACCCUAUAUGUCUUAGCGCAGGAGUAGAUCAUCAUGAAGGUUGGCCGUUCAUGAAUGACCAUGUAUUUCUUGAGAGAGCUUUAACAAAAGAAUAAAGGUUGUUCAUGAACAGCCUAUCUUUUGUUGACAACAAGCUUGCUGAACAGUAUUUCCUUACCAAAGAGCAAGACAUAAAUGUGUUGUAUACCUGAGCUUCACCUUCUGGGGUUUGAAUUGUUGGUGGAUCUGCUCCGCUUCACGCUCUGUUUUGGCAGGACUUUAGCUUGUUUUCUGAAUAUUUUUCUCCUCUCUCUCCGUGUGUCUCUCCGUGUGUAUUUCUCUUCGGUGUUGCAGCCUAUAUAGUGGUCAUGGGAUAGGCUCAACCGGAUGGUGAUAACCACUUUGUAUUUUGCAUUUGAAUUUGAAUAACAAGUCUAUCCUUAUCACUUGUUAUCCUCAUAUAUAUUUGAACUGGCCAAUCUGUUAAACAACAGAACCUAUCCUUGACGUCAUUCAAAACCAAAGGACUUUGUAAUAUAAUUGAAUAACCCCGUUGCUUGCUAUUUGAACUUGGUCAAAUAUAUGUGAUAAA